rnacentral:rRNA from 1 species
GCUUGCUCUCGGGUGACGAGCGGCGGACGGGUGAGUAAUGUCUGGGAAACUGCCUGAUGGAGGGGGAUAACUACUGGAAACGGUAGCUAAUACCGCAUAACGUCGCAAGACCAAAGUGGGGGACCUUCGGGCCUCAUGCCAUCAGAUGUGCCCAGAUGGGAUUAGCUAGUAGGUGGGGUAAUGGCUCACCUAGGCGACGAUCCCUAGCUGGUCUGAGAGGAUGACCAGCCACACUGGAACUGAGACACGGUCCAGACUCCUACGGGAGGCAGCAGUGGGGAAUAUUGCACAAUGGGCGCAAGCCUGAUGCAGCCAUGCCGCGUGUAUGAAGAAGGCCUUCGGGUUGUAAAGUACUUUCAGCGAGGAGGAAGGCAUUAAGGUUAAUAACCUUGGUGAUUGACGUUACUCGCAGAAGAAGCACCGGCUAACUCCGUGCCAGCAGCCGCGGUAAUACGGAGGGUGCAAGCGUUAAUCGGAAUUACUGGGCGUAAAGCGCACGCAGGCGGUCUGUCAAGUCGGAUGUGAAAUCCCCGGGCUCAACCUGGGAACUGCAUUCGAAACUGGCAGGCUAGAGUCUUGUAGAGGGGGGUAGAAUUCCAGGUGUAGCGGUGAAAUGCGUAGAGAUCUGGAGGAAUACCGGUGGCGAAGGCGGCCCCCUGGACAAAGACUGACGCUCAGGUGCGAAAGCGUGGGGAGCAAACAGGAUUAGAUACCCUGGUAGUCCACGCCGUAAACGAUGUCGACUUGGAGGUUGUGCCCUUGAGGCGUGGCUUCCGGAGCUAACGCGUUAAGUCGACCGCCUGGGGAGUACGGCCGCAAGGUUAAAACUCAAAUGAAUUGACGGGGGCCCGCACAAGCGGUGGAGCAUGUGGUUUAAUUCGAUGCAACGCGAAGAACCUUACCUGGUCUUGACAUCCACAGAACUUUCCAGAGAUGGAUUGGUGCCUUCGGGAACUGUGAGACAGGUGCUGCAUGGCUGUCGUCAGCUCGUGUUGUGAAAUGUUGGGUUAAGUCCCGCAACGAGCGCAACCCUUAUCCUUUGUUGCCAGCGGUCCGGCCGGGAACUCAAAGGAGACUGCCAGUGAUAAACUGGAGGAAGGUGGGGAUGACGUCAAGUCAUCAUGGCCCUUACGACCAGGGCUACACACGUGCUACAAUGGCAUAUACAAAGAGAAGCGACCUCGCGAGAGCAAGCGGACCUCAUAAAGUAUGUCGUAGUCCGGAUUGGAGUCUGCAACUCGACUCCAUGAAGUCGGAAUCG